rnacentral:rRNA from 1 species
GUAGGGAAUAUUGGGCAAUGGUCGGAAGACUGACCCAGCCAUGCCGCGUGCAGGAAGACGGCCCUCUGGGUUGUAAACUGCUUUUAUCUGGGAAGAAAAAGGCCAUGCGUGGCAAAUUGCCGGUACCAGAUGAAUAAGCACCGGCUAACUCCGUGCCAGCAGCCGCGGUAAUACGGAGGGUGCGAGCGUUGUCCGGAUUUAUUGGGUUUAAAGGGUGCGUAGGCGGCUGAUUAAGUCAGCGGUGAAAGACUUCGGCUUAACCGGAGCAGUGCCGUUGAUACUGGUUGGCGUGAGUGUCGGAGGGGUACAUGGAAUUGAUGGUGUAGCGGUGAAAUGCAUAGAUAACAUCAGGAACACCGAUAGCGAAGGCAUUGUACUGGCCGACAACUGACGCUGAUGCACGAAAGUGUGGGGAUCGAACAGGAUUAGAUACCCCAGUAGUCC